CAACGCUGGAAAACACCUUAGGCCUCAACAGAGGCCGAACUCUGGCUGACGGAUGGGGAAACUGAGGCCUCAAAGGGAAAGCAACUUGCUCAAGUUCACUCAGCAAGUGAAUAGAGCAGGAAUCGGGGGUCUCAUCUCCCCCAGUCCCCUUUUCUCUCCAGCAAGGAGGCUUUUCAACGAGAAUUCUGAGACAAGAGGACAGGGGAGAGGCCAAGGGGCAGCUCACAGAUUCCACCGAGGAGUCGGGAGAGGGCACAGAAGCAAGAGGAACCUAAUACUCUUCCUCAUUGGCCUUCCUGUCUCCAUCUUUAUUCCUUCCAGCUCAUUCUCUACAUGACACUGUGAAUGCCAAACUGUCUGGAGGCUGCCAUGAGCGGCCAAUUUGUGAUCUCUGCUUUACCUGAAUUAUUUCCGUGAAUUGUGACAUCAACCUCGCCAGAUUGGAGUGCAAUGUCACGGGAUCUCAGCUCACUGCAAACUCUGCCUCCCGGGUUCAAGCGAUUCUCCUGCCUCAGCCUCCCAAGUAGCUGAGAUUACUGGCAUGUGCCACCACGCCCAGCUAAUUUUUUUGUAUUAUUAGUAGAGAUGGGGUUUCACCAUGUUGGCCAGGAUAGUCUCAAACUCCUGACAUCGGGUGAUCCACCCGCCUCGGCCUCCCAAAGUGCUGGGAUUAUAGGAGUGAGCCACCACACCCGGCUGAAGAUGUCGUUCUUCACAUUUCUUUCAAUGCCAUUGUUACAACUUUUAAAAAUGUUCACUGUCUCCCAUGACUCCCCUUCAUUAUGUGGAGAAUAAAGUCCAGAUUCCUUAACCCACAUCUAAGGCCCUCUCUGAUUCAUCAACCCACACUUCAAUCGUGGAAAGUGGCUAAGAACCCAUGGAGGCAGGCUGCCGUGGCUUGAGU
rnacentral:lncRNA from 1 species